AUUGAACGCUGGCGGCAGGCCUAACACAUGCAAGUCGAGCGAGCGGCGGACGGGUGAGUAAUGUCUGGGAAACUGCCUGAUGGAGGUGGAUAACUACUGGAAACGGUAGCUAAUACCGCAUACCAUCAGAUGUGCCCAGGGGGGAUUAGCUAGUUGGUUGGGUAACGGCUCACCUAGGCGACGAUCCCUAGCUGGUCUGAGAGGAGAACCAGCCACACUGGAACUGAGACACGGUCAAGACGCCUACGGGAGGCAGCAGUGGGGAAUAUUGGACAAUGGGCGCAAGCAUGAUGCAGCCAUGCCGCGUGUGUGAAGAAGGCCUUCGGAUUGUAAAGCACUUUAAGCGGGGAGGCGUUAACAGCAGAAGAAGCAACGGCUAACUCCGUGCCAGCAGCCGCGGUAAUAC
rnacentral:rRNA from 1 species